ACACUGCUGGGUGUGCUUGUCUAGCGUGCUCCCCUUUCCCCCUCUCUAAGUCUCUUCCUCCUUUCAUCGAAAUGACCUACUCUCCUUCCAAGUCUAUGUCCAUCUACUGUCUCUCUCUCGAGUUAUGUGUGGUGCGUGCGUGCGCGGGUGCGUCCCCGUCCAUUUCAUCGGAGAGCGCUGAGACAGGGCUACGACUGAACCGGGCUACUGAACAAGGAGGAGGA
rnacentral:rRNA from 1 species